GACGAACGCUGGCGGCGUGCUUAACACAUGCAAGUCGAACGGAAAGGCCCUGCUUUUGUGGGGUGCUCGAGUGGCGAACGGGUGAGUAACACGUGAGUAACCUGCCCUUGACUUUGGUAUAACUUCAGGAAACUGUGGCUAAUACCGGAGAGGAGCUCCUGAUGGUUGGUGUGGGUUGGAAAGUUUAGGUGGUUGGGGUGGGAGGGUGGGCUUAUCAGUUGUUUGGUGGGGUAGUGGCUUACCAAGGCUUUGACGGGUAGCGGGCCUGAGGGGGUGACCGGCAACAUUGGGACUGAGAUACGGCCAAGAGUCGUACCUAAUACACAAGUUUUAAAUAUUCACCAAUUACCGAAAGCCUGAUCCGCCAAGCCCGGGGGCGGGAGACCGGCCUUCGGGUGGUAAACCCCUUUCCCAUCUAACAAGCCUUUUGUAACUAUCAUUCAUAAAUAAUCACCGGCUAACUACCUG
rnacentral:rRNA from 1 species